UGCUGCCAUGUCUGACACUGGGACUGGGGUACAUACAGCAGGGGCUCUGCUAAAGACUGUUGAAUGAAUAAAUGCGUGAGGCCUCAGUGGGCCUGAAGGUAUUAGCUAAACUUUCUACCCAUCAGGGUCUCAGGAUUCUGGGGCUAUGACCACUGCCACUACUAACAAUUUCUUCCACCAGCAGAAUAAGUAGCUCCCAAUUACUGAGCAUUUAGCGUGUGCCAGGCAUCGGGGUAAGCAUUUCUCUGUGCCAUCUUGCUCCCACCUUUCACCCAUCCUAUGGGGUGGGUGUUCUGUGAGUGUCCUCAUAUCACAGGUGGGGAAAUGAGCUCCACCGGGAGCCGUGGUAGAACCUGCACUGGCCCAUCAGAGCUCACAGCCUUUUUCCACGCCAAGUGAGGGUGGGUGGUUGGAGCCCAGAACAGGGGGCACCUGUCAUCCCUUCCAGAAUUUGCCUUUUUCCAUUGCCUCCCUGUAGAACUUCUCUCCUCCCUUGAAGACUUUGCUUCUCCUAGAACCUCUCUCAGACUCAUCAGUCUCCUUCCCAAGUUCCGUGCAACCUGGAAAUGUCAGUGUUCCCCAGAGGUCUGCCCUUAAACCUGCAGGCUGGUGGGGUGUCCUCACGGGUUCCUACCCACUGGGAAAGCCUUUCCCUGGAAGAUGCUGGGUCUUCAUCUGCUCCCACGUCUGGAGGUGAGUGGGUGUCGAGGAACCGCCAGGCAGCGGAGAAAACAGGACGCCGCAGAAAUCAGAUUACUCACCUGCAGCUGUGACUACCCAGGGCUAAUAAAAGCUGAGCUUCCUGUUGU
ensembl:lncRNA